rnacentral:rRNA from 1 species
UUCAACAUAUGCGCAAGCUGUUGGGUGUUUUGUAUACCCGAAGGCUUAGUGAAAGCAAGCGAUGUUAUUUGGUGGCAUCAUAGAGGCGAGAUCUUUGUGUACGAGUAGUGUGUUUACUCAUAUUAUUCGCAUGCAUAAAGCGCAUCGCCGACCCGUUUAAUGGCCACGCGCCAUGGACGGAGUUAGAGCGCAUACGCUGAGACCCGAAAGAUGGUGAACUAUGCCUGGGCAGGAUGAAGCCAGAGGAAACUCUGGUGGAAGUCCGUAGCGAUUCUGACGUGCAAAUCGAUCGUCUGACCUGGGUAUAGGGGCGAAAGACUAAUCGAACCAUCUAAUAGCUGGUUCCCUCCGAAGUUUCCCUCAGGAUAGCUGGUACUCGAGACAAUUGUAAGCAGUCUCUCCCGGUAAAGCGAAUGAUUAGAGGACUUGGGAUCAAAACGAUCUCAACCUAUUCUCAAACUUUAAAUGGGUGAGAAGUCCAACUUACUUGAUUGAAGUUUGGACCCAAUCGGAUGCAUGAGUGCCUAGUGGGCCAUUUUUGGUAAGCAGAACUGGCGCUGCGGGAUGAACCGAACGUUGAGUUACGGCGCCUGAUUAUAAACGCUCAUCAGAUACCACAAAAGGUGUUGGUUGCUAUAGACAGCAGGACGGGGCC